ensembl:snRNA U6 U6 spliceosomal RNA
CUGCCAGCCUGGGCAUUAGUGUAGCUAUAUGAUAAACGAUACAGAGAAGAUUAGCAUGGCCACUACUCAAGGAUGACAAGCACAUUCAUGAAGCAUUCUAUAUGUUU